GACGGAGGAUGCAAGCGUUAUCCGGAAUGAUUGGGCGUAAAGCGUCCGCAGGCGGCUGUUCAAGUCUGCUGUCAAAGACCGGGGCUUAACUUCGGAAAGGCAGUGGAAACUGAACAGCUAGAGUAUGGUAGGGGCAGAGGGAAUUCCCAGUGUAGCGGUGAAAUGCGUAGAUAUUGGGAAGAACACCGGUGGCGAAAGCGCUCUGCUGGACCUGCACUGACGCUGAGGGACGAAAGCGAGGGGAGCGAAAGGG
rnacentral:rRNA from 1 species